UCUCAAUCAGAUGUGUAGCAUGAAAUAUAAGGCUUUUAAUAAUUUAGUCAUCCUUACUGGAGGCUACAAUUAACAUGCAUCAUAGGUCAUACACAUUACUUUGUCUUCAGGUACUGCACUUACGGGAGGAGAUGGCUACAUCUUCACAAUAAUUUACACUGCCAUAGUACACUGCUAAACAGUACUGUAACAUGGAUUUGUAUUAGGCUAUGAAGUCAUUUAAAGCAUAACUUUACUUUUCAGGGGGACAUGCUCUCUAUCAGGAGGUGGUGGUUGGACAGCUGUUGGAGACCUUUAUGCUUGAAAGGUUUAUAUACUGUAACUAGCUGGCUCCUUCUCACCCUCUCCAUCUCCCCAUCUCAGUCACACCUUCCAAUCACUAAGCAGUGAAAGCCCUGCAGGACUAGCUGGCACACCAAGCUCACCCUCUCCAUCUCCCCAUCUCAGCCACACGCUCCAAUCUGGCACAACAGAGGACAGGCCAUUCUUACCACCCGAAGUCCUUCAGCAAAUUGUACAAGAGACGCUGAGACUGGACAUGGCGAUGCUUGGCGUGUUCAACAGGGUUUCAAACACAUUCCGAGAACUAAUCAAGCCUCUCCAUCCUUCCAUAUAUAUAAAUGACAGUUUGGCAGGGGACAUUAAGCUUAAUAAAGACAAUCUCAUAUACAUAACGGUUAGAAAGAUUUACAACAAUGCAGGCUGUGGCAGUGGCCUUGCGCUACGCCUCAAA